AGCGAACGCUGGCGGCAGGCUUAACACAUGCAAGUCGAACGCCCCGCAAGGGGAGUGGCAGACGGGUGAGUAACACGUGGGAACGUACCCUUUGGUUCGGAAUAACUUGGGGAAACUCAAGCUAAUACCGGAUAAGCCCUUAUGGGGAAAGGUUUACUGCCGAAGGAUCGGCCCGCGUCUGGCUAGCUUGUUGGUGAGGUAACGGCUCACCAAGGCUACGACGGGUAACCGGCCCGAGAGGGCGACCGGGGACACUGGGACGGAGACACGGCCCAGACUCCUACGGGAGGCAGCAGUGGGGAAUAGUGCGCGAGGGGCGAAAGCCUGACGCAGCGAGGCCGCGUGAGGGAUGGCGGUCCUCAGAUUGUAAACUUCAAUAGUCUGUUAAAAAAUCUUGAUUGAUAGAUGAAAGCCCUGGCUAACCACGGGCCAGCCGCCGCCGUAA
rnacentral:rRNA from 1 species